UACGGAGGGUGCGAGCGUUGUUCGGAAUCACUGGGCGUAAAGCGCGUGUAGGUGGCCUUGUAAGUCUGGUGUGAAAGCCCGGGGCUUACCCCCGGAAGUGCACUGGAGACUGCAAGGCUAGAGUACCGGAGAGGAAAGUGGAAUUCCUGGUGUAGCGGUGAAAUGCGUAGAUAUCAGGAGGAACACCGGUGGCGAAGGCGGCUUUCUGGACAGAUACCGACGCUGAGGCACGAAAGCUAGGGGAGCAAACAGG
rnacentral:rRNA from 1 species